rnacentral:rRNA from 1 species
CAAACGACUCUCGGCAACGGAUAUCUCGGCUCACGCAUCGAUGAAGAACGUAGCAAAAUGCGAUACUUGGUGUGAAUUGCAGAAUCCCGUGAACCAUCGAGUUUUUGAACGCAAGUUGCGCCGAAGCCAUUCGGCCGAGGGCACGUCUGCCUGGGCGUCACGC